rnacentral:rRNA from 1 species
ACGGGGACCCGCACAAGCGGUGGAUGAUGUGGAUUAAUUCGAUGCAACGCGAAAAACCUUUACCUACCCUUUGACAUGUCCGGAAUCCUGCAGAGAUGCGGGAGUGCCCGAAAGGGAAUCGGAACACAGGUGCUGCAUGGCUGUCGUCAGCUCGUGUCGUGAGAUGUUGGGUUAAGUCCCGCAACGAGCGCAACCCUUAUCAUUAGUUGCUACGCAAGGGCACUCUAAUGAGACUGCCGGUGACAACCGGAGGAAGGUGGGGAUGACGUCAAGUCCUCAUGGCCCUUAUGGGUAGGGCUUCACACGUCAUACAAUGGUCGGUACAGAGGGUUGCCAAGCCGCGAGGUGGAGCCAAUCCCAGAAAGCCGAUCGUAGUCCGGAUUGUUCUCUGCAACUCGAGAGCAUGAAGUCGGAAUCGCUAGUAAUCGCGGAUCAGCAUGUCGCGGUGAAUACGUUCCCGGGUCUU